AUCGAACGCUGGCGGCAGGCCUAAUACAUGCAAGUCGAGCGGAGCGGCGGACGGGUGAGUAAUACCUAGGAAACAGCCUGGUAGUGGGGGAUACCGUUCGGAAACGGACGCUAAUACCGCAUAAUAUCAGAUGAGCCUAGGUCGGCGUAGCUAGUUGGUGAGGGAAUGGCUCACCAAGGCUACGAUGCGUAACUGGCCUGAGAGGAUGAUCAGUCACACGUGAACUGAGACACGGUCCAGACUCCUACGUGAGGCAGCAUUGGGGAAUAUUGGACAAUGGGCGAAAGCCUGACCCAGCCAUGCCGCGUGUGUGAAGAAGGUCUUCGGAUUGUAAAGCACUGUAAUUUGGGAGGCGUUACCGACAGAAUAAGCACCGGCUAACUCUGUGCCAGCAGCCACGGUAAUUC
rnacentral:rRNA from 1 species